AGUGAACGCUGGCGGCGUGCUUAACACAUGCAAGUCGAACGAGAACGGAAUAUAGCUUGCUAUAUUUGUCAGCUAAGUGGCGCACGGGUGAGUAAUGUAUAGAUAACCUGCCCUUAAGAAAGGAAUAACAGUUGGAAACGACUGCUAAUGCCCUAUAUGCCUUUAAUACAUAAGUAUGCAAGGGAAACGCUUUAGUGCUUAAGGAUGGGUCUGUAUGGUAUUAGCUUGUUUGUGAGGUAAUGGCUCACCAAGGCUAUGACGCCUAACUGGUUUGAGAGGAUGAUCAGUCACACUGGAACUGAGACACGGUCCAGACUCCUACGGGAGGCAGCAGUGGGGAAUAUUGCACAAUGGACGAAAGUCUGAUGCAGCAACGCCGCGUGGAGGAUGACACAUUUCGGUGCGUAAACUCCUUUUAUAUAGGAAGAUAAUGACGGUACUAUAUGAAUAAGCACCGGCUAACUCCGUGCCAGCAGCCGCCGUAA
rnacentral:rRNA from 1 species